UCUGGAAUGAGACGUGGGAUCUGCCUUUCUCAUGAGCUCUCCAGGGUACUAAUAAGUAUGGAAGCUUCCAGAAGGAAAAAAUCCACUGAGGUUGUCUAGGCAGUCAGGACAGUAAUUUUCUUUUCAUGGAUUCAAAGAAGGACAAACAGAUAUCCACUUACCAACAUCCUCUUCAGCAAUAAUAAAAGAAAUCAGAUCCUUAGUAAACCACGAUGCUUUCUACCAUCAACAAGUCAACAAAUAACAAGUGCUGGCAAGGAUGUGGGGAAAUGGGAAC